rnacentral:tRNA from 1 species
AGGGGUAUAGCACAGUGGUGGGGCACAUGCUUAGCAUGCCCGAGAUCCUGGGUUCAAUCCCCAGUACUUCCA